rnacentral:misc_RNA from 1 species
GUAUUCAUUUUUGUCUAUGCUUUUUCGGAAGUAUAGGCAAGAGAUUUGAGUCUCCCAACUGGGUUUCUUGAAAUAGAUUGCCUCUGUCUAGUAAAAAGCGACGACGUUUUUCAUACCCUGCAGAAAAGUAUUUGAAUGGAACCCUGGUUUCUUAUGAUGCUGAAUAAGUAGGAGAAAGAAAGAGUUUUUUACGGUCAUAGGUUCAUAACCAUAAAGCUUUCGAGCUUGAA